ensembl:snRNA U6 U6 spliceosomal RNA
AUGCUUCAGCAGCACAUAUACCCAAAUUACAAUACAGAGAUUAACAUGGCAAUUGCACAGGAUGAUAAGAAAAUCUGUGAAUUAUUCCAUAUUUUU